rnacentral:lncRNA from 11 species
GCCUGAUUAGCACUAAAACGAGCUCUUCAUAAGUGACACCUGAGAACAUAGAAUAAAAGGUGUUUAAGUUUGUACUCAUGUUAUAGGAGGCAAUGUUUUGCUUCAUGGUGAAACUAUGGAUUCUUUGGAUUUUUGGCCUUGCUGAUUCUGAACGGUACCUUGACUUCUGCAUUGGAAGUUUGCCAGGUUGUUGAAAGAAAUAGUAGAUGGAAAGGAAAGAAUUUCCG